rnacentral:rRNA from 1 species
UUAAGCAAGAAAGAGCAUAAGGUGAAUGCCUUGGCACUGGAAGCCGAAGAAGGACGUGACAAGCUGCGAUAAGCUGCGGUGAGGAGCAAAUAUCCCUUGACCCGCAGAUAUCCGAAUGAGGGAACUCACCUGUUUUAAUAGGCAGGUAUCCUAUGAUGAAUAUAUAGUCAUAGAGAAGGAAACCCGGAGAACUGAAACAUCUAAGUACCCGGAGGAAAAGAAAGAAACAUCGAUUUUCCAAGUAGCGGCGAGCGAACGGGAAAGAGGCCAAACCGACUAUUUAUAGUUGGGGUUGUGGAUCACCACAAGAGAUACUUAAAUAUAGCCAAAGACAGCUGGAAAGCUGUAGCAAAGAGGGUAACACUCCCGUAGGCGAAAUAUGAGAGGACUCAGGUGACACCAGAGUAGUGCCGGACACGUGGAAUCCGGCAUGAAGCCGGGGGGCCCACCCCCCAAGCCUAAAUACUAACCAGUGACCGAUAGCGAAGUAGUACCGUGAGGGAAAGGUGAAAAGAACCCCGGGAGGGGAGUGAAAUAGAACCUGAAACCUUAUGCUUACAAUCGGAGGGAGCGGAAGUGACCUCAUACUUUUUGUAGAACGGGCCAACGAGUUAUGGUAUGUAGCAAGGUUAAGGUGCUGGAGCACCGAAGCCGCAGGGAAACCGAGUCUUAAUAGGGCGAGAAGUUACAUGCUGUAGACCCGAAACCGGGUGACCUAUCCAUGUGCAGGUUGAAGUAACUGUAAAAGGUUAUGGAGGACCGAACUCAUGUCUGUUAAAAAAGGCUGGGAUGACGUGUGGAUAGCGGUGAAAUUCCAAUCGAACUCGGAGAUAGCUGGUUCUCCUCGAAAUAGCUUUAGGGCUAGCCUCAAGGAAAGAUACGCGGGGGUAAAGCACUGAAUGUUCAAGGGGCCUUCACCGGUUACCAAAAACUAUCAAACUCAGAAUACCGCAGUAUUAUACUUGGGAGUCAGGCUAUGUGAGAUAAGUUUCAUAGUCGAGAGGGAAACAACCCAGACCAACAGCUAAGGUCCCCAAAUGUAAGUUAAGUGGAAAAGGAUGUGGAGUUGCAUAAACAGCUAGGAUGUUGGCUUAGAAGCAGCCAUACAUUUAAAGAGUGCGUAAUAGCUCACUAGUCGAGUGACCCUGCGCCGAAGAUAAACGGGGCUAAAACUUACUACCGAAGCUUUGGAACAGAAAUGUUGGUAGAGGAGCAUUGUAUACAGGCAGAAGGUAAAUUGUGAAGUUUGCUGGACAGUAUACAAGAGAGAAUGUUGGCAUGAGUAGCGAGAGGCAGGUGAGAAUCCUGCCCGCCGAAAAUCUAAGGUUUCCUGAGGAAGGUUCGUCCACUCAGGGUUAGUCGGGGCCUAAGCCCAGAGCGAGAGCUGUAGGCGAUGGACAACAGGUAGAAAUUCCUGUACCACCGAGGAUUGAAUGAGUGAAGUGGGGACACAGAAGGAUAGGUUGAGCACGCCGUUGGUAGAGCGUGUCCAAGCGUCAAGGGAGUAUAAGUAGGCAAAUCCGCAUAUACAAUUCUGAGGCGUUAUGGGGUGGCGAAAGAGCCUGAAGCGACUGAUUUCAUGCUGUCAAGAAAAUCCGCUAGCGAGAUCCAAGGUGCCCGUACCGCAAACCGACACAGGUAGAUGAGGAGAGAAUCCUAAGGCGAGCGAGAGAACUAUUGUUAAGGAACUCGGCAAAAUUACCCCGUAACUUCGGGAGAAGGGGUGCCACAGAAAUGUGGCCGCAGUGAAUAGGCCCAGGCAACUGUUUACCAAAAACACAGGUCUCUGCAAAAGCGAAAGCUGAAGUAUAGGGGCUGACGCCUGCCCGGUGCUGGAAGGUUAAGGGGAAGUGUUAGGGUAACCGAAGCACAGAACUUAAGCCCCAGUAAACGGCGGCCGUAACUAUAACGGUCCUAAGGUAGCGAAAUUCCUUGUCGGGUAAGUUCCGACCCGCACGAAAGG